AACGAACGCUGGCGGCAUGCCUAACACAUGCAAGUCGAACGAGACCUUCGGGUCUAGUGGCGCACGGGCGCGUAACGCGUGGGAACCUGCCCUUAGGUUCGGAAUAACUCCCCGAAAGGGGUGCUAAUACCGGAUAAUGUCUUCGGACCAAAGAUUUAUCGCCUUUGGAUGGGCCCGCGUUGGAUUAGCUAGUUGGUAGGGUAAAAGCCUACCAAGGCGACGAUCCAUAGCUGGUCUGAGAGGAUGGUCAGCCACACUGGGACUGAGACACGGCCCAGACUCCUACGGGAUGCAGCAGUGGGGAAUAUUGGACAAUGGGCGAAAGCCUGAUCCAGCAAUGCCGCGUGAGUGAUGAAGGCCUUAGGGUUGUAAAGCUCUUUUACCCGGGAUGAUAAUGACAGUACCGGGAGAAUAAGCUCCGGCUAACUCCGUG
rnacentral:rRNA from 1 species